GGCUUCGUAACUCAGUUGGAUAAAGCGUUGUUAGUACUAAAGCAUUUACCCUGCUGGCGUGAGUUCGAAUCCCACCGAGGCCA
rnacentral:tRNA from 1 species